GUAUGUUGCCCAGGCUGGUCUUUAAUUCCUGGGCUCAAGUGAUCCUCCUCACCCUCCCAAGUAGCUAGAAUUACUAUCUUGCCUGGCUAAAUAUACUGACUAUUUAUUGAGCAUCUAGUAUGUGAUAAGAACAUAAUUUUAGCCUUCAAGAGCUCACAGGUGGCCAGGGAAGGAGGCUUUGAGAGUGGAGUCACUGAAAAACAAUCUCAGCACCAUGUGUUGAGGAUAGGUCUGUGCAUCGAGACUUGAAGAAACAGAAUGGGCUGUUUAGGGAGCAUUUUCUAUGUACUAGGCUGAAUUUUUGUGCUAGAAAUACAGCAUUUAGUAAGAUGUAUACUUUUUCCUGCUCUGAUGGUGCUUUCCUGGAUAAGAGAAGCUGGGAGGUAAAAAGAAAGUUAGGUGAGCCUUGAAGGGCUACAUGAAGAGGGGACUUCUAGGGAAAUAUCCCAGGAAAGGGAAGGCAUGUGAACAAAGACACAGGAUGUGCCUGGAAAGUUCUUAGCUACUUACUAGGACAGCAGUGAGGCUAUGUAGUAAGAGGAGAAAGUGGAAACAUCAUUAUCUAACACCAGGUUGAAAAAAAGGGGCAAGUGCUCUACUACUGAGCUAUAUCCCCAGCCCAAUAAAUGGCAAUUUAAUAUGAAAGACAAAUGUUAGAAAUUCUCAAUAAUCUUAGAUAACUACUGUUUUUGUAGGUAUUGUUGUAGUAAAUUUUAAUGUUAUAAAUAUAUUGUGAAUAUUAUAGAUAUACUAUAUAAUAUAUAAACAUAUAUUAUGGUUUUAUUUUCUACUAGUAAAAUUGCUGAUGGUUCCAAAUGGUGUGCCACACAUAGUAAAUGCCAUGGCUUCCAGAUGCUUUGAUUCCCAUAUACAUUUUAAAAAAACAGUUGUUGAGAUACAAUUCACAUGUCAUGCAAUUCACCUAUUUAAAAUGCAGAGUUCAUUGGUUUUAGUAAAUGCAGAGUUUUGCAACUAUCACCAUGAUAAAUCAAAAAAUCUGAGAACCACUGACCAGGCAACGGGGGAAACCAUUGAAAGUUUAAUGCAAGGGCAUGACAUCUAGGUAAGGGUGGAAGAAAAAAAAAGAUUCCUCUUGCUGUCGUAAGGGAGAUUAGCUAAAAGCAGAG
rnacentral:lncRNA from 1 species